UCCCUGGUGGUCUAGUGGUUAGGAUUUGGCACUUUCACUGUCAUGGCCUGGGUUCAAUUCCUGGUUGGGGAG